UUUAAUGGCCGCAGUAUUUUGACUGUGCAAAGGUAGCAUAAUCAUUAGUUUCUUAAUUAGAAGCUGGAAUGAAAGGUUGAACGAAAAAAUAACUGUCUCUUAUUAAAUUUAUUAUAAUUUUAUUUUUAAGUUAAAAAGCUUAAAUAAAAUUAAAAGACGAGAAGACCCUAUAGAGUUUUAUUUUAUAUAAAUAAAUUAAUAUAAAUUUUUAAUUUUUAUUGAUAAUUAUUUAAUAAAAUUUUAUUGGGGUGAUAGAAAAAUUUAAUAAACUUUUUUUAUAUGAAAACAUUAAUUAAUGAUUUUAUUUGAUCCAUAUUUUGUGAUAUUAAGAUUAAAUUACCUUAGGGAUAACAGCGUUAUUUCAUUAGAGAGUUCUAAUCGAUAAUGAAGUUUGCGACCUCGAUGUUGGAUUAAAAUUAAUUAUUGGUGUAGAAGCUAAUAUAUUGGGUCUGUUCGACCUUUAAAAUUUUACAUGAUCUGAGUUUAAACCGGUGUGAGCCAGGUUGGUUUCUAUCUUUAAUAAAAAAAAAUAUUUUAGUACGAAAGGACCAAAUAUUUAUUAUAGUAAUUUUAAUUAGAGUAUAAUUAAUUU
rnacentral:rRNA from 1 species